rnacentral:lncRNA from 1 species
CGUACUAAUAAUUGAGAAAAUACUCUCCAUAAAAAAGGAGGAAUAUGAUAUAAUCCGGAUAAUACAAAUGAAUCUUAAAGCCAAACUUCUUAUUUUGGUGGGCCAAACAGGCUUUAAGUCCAUAAAACUUUCUAGGCUUAGACAGACCUGAAUAAAAACGUAAAUGGGCCAAGCCCAAACCCGUUUUAAUAGCAAAUAU